UGAGGAAUAUUGCACAAUGGGCGCAAGCCUGAUGCAGCAACGCCGCGUGAGGGACGAAGGCCUUCGGGUCGUAAACCUCUUUUCUGGGGGACGAGUAAGGACGGUACCCCAGGAAUAAGUCUCGGCUAACUACGUGCCAGCAGCCGCGGUAAAACGUAGGAGGCGAGCGUUAUCCGGAUUUACUGGGCGUAAAGCGUACGCAGGUGGCUUCGUUAGUCGGGCAUGAAAGCUCCUGGCUUAACUGGGAGAGGUUGUUCGAUACUGCGGGGCUUGAGGUUGGGAGAGGGACGUGGAAUUCCCGGUGUAGUGGUGGGAUGCGUAGAUAUCGGGAGGAACACCAGUGGCGCAAGCGGCGUCCUGGCCCACACCUGACGCUGAGGUACGAAAGCGUGGGUAGCAAACAG
rnacentral:rRNA from 1 species